CCCUUAGAUGUUCUGGGCCGCACGCGCGCUACAAUGAUGCAACCAACGAGUGCUGCUCCUUGGCCGAGAGGCCCGGGGAACCUUGCAAACUGCAUCGUGCUGGGGAUAGAUGAUUGCAAUUCUUCAUCUUGAACGAGGAAUGCCUUGUAAGCGUGAGUCAUCAACUCGCGCUGAAUACGUCCCUGCCCUUUGUACACACCGCCCGUCGCUCCUACCGAUUGGAUGGCCCGGUGAAGUGGUCGGAUCGGUGGCGCCCGCGCGGUCGCGUGGGAAGCCCCGAGAAGUCCAGUGAGCCUUGCCAUCUAGAGGAAGGAGAAGUCGUANCA
rnacentral:rRNA from 1 species